rnacentral:lncRNA from 1 species
GCAACUCAAAACAGAUCCUAAGUUCUCGAGGAUGCACGGAUGUGGAAUCAUGUCAUAAGCUUUGCAAUAUUCAAUCCCGGACAGUCCCAGAUUUGUCACCUUCGUUUAAGAUUUGCAUUACCAGUUUGUGUAUCAGUAGUUGAUCUUUGGUACCCCUCUCCUCUUCUUCUAUAGCCUUCUUGUUCCGGCGGUAAUGUAUCUUCCCAUCAAGAAAUUUAUACAGUUCUUCUGCAAUUCCAUCUGACAGUAACUUCCACAUUAAUGAGAGGCAAGUCUGUAAUUGUCAGCUGCAUUUCCCUUUGAGAGCAUCCCUCAGGCACAACAACGUCGUCUUCUGUCAUGGCAUCUACUAAACAUUUUUAAUGCAAAAUCCCUGUACACCAUGAAGUCCUACUGCUUUCCAAUUUCUUAAAUUUUAACUCAUAUUUCUGAUACUAUCUCCUGUGAAGUGGAUAAUUACUUGCUAGGGAUAAGAAGCUGUUUGUUUCAGGCUGCACAGCCAUUCAGCUGUAGUAUUAUCGUAUUCUUGUUUACUCCAUAUCUUUCCACAGAAAAGUAUUUAUCAGCAACAGCAUCACGUUUUUAUCAACAUUAAUUUCUUGUUGAAAUCUUUUUUAGUCGGUUCUAAACAAUGUUUUGCUGGUAUUGCUUAAUCCGUUGUUUAAACCUAGUUCCCUCUCUCUCUCUGUCUCUCUCUCUCCCUCUUUUUUUUUGCAUGUAUGCGUUACUACAUUUCUUCAAUUACAAUAUCCAGGCCUUCUGUAUCUACACAGUCCUUCUUCCUAAAUUUUCAGGAUUCCCAUUCAUUCUUACGUUCUCCAUUUCUUUUCCUAAAAAGUAUUGAUACUGCAAUGUUCAAGGAGAUUAUGUCUUCAAAAAGUCUCCUUUUCCAACACGAUUGUUUAUUUCCUCUCCUAUCCGUCGCUGUUCUAUUCUCAGCAGUUUUCAAAACCAUUCUUUUCGCCACAGUCCUACCAGCAGCCUAGAUAAUAUUAUUUGUUUAUGUAAUAUUCUUUGUUUCAAUGUGUCUCAAUACAUUAUUGAGAUCACUCACCUCUUGAUUAGCUAUUUUAAAGUCACACAUAGAUUCUGUCCGAUCUGUAUUUAAUAGAUCAAAACUUCUGUCUAUUAUUAAUUGAUUGUCAUUGUCUGAGUUGUCACUGAUCUCAGUUCUUUAAUAAUUCACGGCAAUAUUUUCUUUCGAACAACUGUCCAUCACUUCCACUAUACCACUUUCGUUUCUCGCCUGCCCAGCAUCACCCGAUAGCCCUCUUUUAAUAACUUCUAGCUCCGGUUCUGCUAGCCAUCCAUUCUUUCGUAUUGCUCUUACUUGGUCACAUAAUAUCUGUUCAUUAAUUUUAAACAGUUCCAUUGUCUUCGAUUCCCUGGGCAUUCGUUUUCUGUACCCUCUGACAGGCUCAUUAUUCGCAUCUACUGGGGUGCCCUGGUAGUAACACUCUAUACCCAUCAUGCUUACUUGUUUACUCCACUUGUGUCUUCUUGCAUGGCUAGCAGAUGCUGCAUUACGACCGGGCUCACCCUGCUGCAAAGUUGGGUACCUGACGGGUGCGGAACCUUCACUGUUAACGUCGUCUAUUUUGCUUGACAUUUUCUCUCACAAAUGAAGUGUGCUUUUAGGUUAGUACCAACAGGUAUUUUUAUCGAGACAACAUAUCUAUAAAAGUAGUCCACCAAGGCGGCAGGGGCCUUGCUCUCAAGGUUUUGGUCUCAGAGGCUCCCUUCUCCAAGGCUGUUUGCAAUCCAAGGCUAAUGAGUGCAGCCUAUCCGUAACACUGGUUAACUGAAGUUGCCAUAUACUUAUAUUUUCCCAUUCUUCGCCUGUUGGUUUGGCGAAGGAUUCGGGCUUGACUGUCAGAUGAGAGUUCUUGCGCAAUCCAUUGGAACAUUUUAUAAGUGAUGAGCGCUAAGCUCCCUUCACCAACCCGGAAUUAUCAGAAAUAAAUAAAUAAAUAAAUAAAUAAAAUUUUAAAAGUAUUUUUAAAAAACUAGUAAAAGAGAUAUAUUUAUAAGAGAGGCAGAAAAUGAGAUAAAAGAAAAGAAAAGGAAGAUGAACUAGGGAGGGGAGGAAGCUAUUUAACAAAAGUUCAGUAUAAUGCAUUCAUAUUCACAGGGAGAGUAGGAAUACUGUUUAGGAAUUGUUUUUGAACACAAAGGUUUGGUAGGUAGAUAUUGUACAUCAGGAUAGAUGUUAGAGGGUGUGGAAAUGGCGAGCGCAUCACCACCGAGAGAAGGUGUCUACUGCGGUGUUCCUCAACGCCCAGCUGUAAAUUUAAGAUUUAACCAAAGAAGGAAGGAUAAGCAAUAAUCUGAAUCAAAAGAAAAACUAGCCUACUGUUUGAAUUGGUCUGUUAAAAUGUGAUUUCGGCUGAAGAAUUUUACGAUAACAAGUGAUCUUCAAAAGUAGUGAAGAAAAUGAUAGAGGGAGAGAAGGAAAGAGAAAGAAAGAGACAUAGAGACAGUGGUGGUAAAAAAUAUAGUGGGAGAGAGAGAGAGAGAAAGAUGUGGAGAUAAAAGGGAGAGAGAUGAGAAGUGAGUGAGAGAGAGAGAGAGAGAGAGAGAGAGAGAGAGAGGGAGAGAUUCGUGUGCUUUCAACAAUAGGUUCAGCAUUGUAGCAGUCAGGGUGUUCUUGGUAGCUAACUUUCAUAUGACUAUUAAUUAAUAAAAGUGUAAGUUUUAGGAAUUUAAGCUUUAAGCAAAAAGGAAGGAGAAACGUUUUGAGUUAAUCUGAAUCUGUUUGGAUUCGCCUGUGAAAGUGUGAUUUCGAUUGGAGCAUUUUACUUUGUCAACAAGUAAUCUUGACAUAGAGAGAGCGGUGGUAAAAGGAAGAGGGGGAAAAGGGAAAGUGAGAGAGGGGGGAUACAUGUGCGUUUAACAAUUGAUUCAGUAUUGUAACAGUCAGGGUGAUUCAGAGAGCUAACUUUCAUAUGACUAUGAGUGAAUAAAUGUGUAAGUGUUAGGUAUUCAAUCUUUAAGAAAGAAUGGAGAAGCGUCUUAUGUUUAUCUGAAUGUAAACUAAAAACCAAAACUUACUGCUUGUAUUGAUAUGUAAAAGUGCGAUUUCGGCUGAAGAAUUUUACGAUAUCAACUUGUAAUGUUCAAGAGUAGCUAAGAAAGUGCUAGAGAGAGAGUGAGGAGACACAGAGAGAGUGGUAGUAGAAAGGUAGAGAGACACAGAGAAAGUAGAGAGAGAGAGAGAGAGAGAGAGAGAGAGAGAGAGAGAGAAUACAUUGGAACAACAUACAUUGUAACUUUUAGGGUGUUAUAAAUUUGUCAACGAUAAUUGAAUGAAUGUGUAAGCUUUCGUAAUUUAAUCUUUAAUCAAGAAAGAAGUAGAACCGUUUUACGCUAAUCUGAAGCUAACGAAAAAUUAGCUAACAACUCUUUGAAUUGGCCUGUGAAAGCGUGAUUUCUGCUGAAGAAUUAUUAUUGUUAUUAUAAUAAUAAUAAUAAUAAUAAUAAUAAUAAUAAUAAUAAUAAUAAUAAUGUUAAUAUAUAUAUUUAUAUAUUUAUUGGCUAAACUGGCAAAAUGACCAUUCCGAAAUAUAACAAUAUAUAUAUAUAUAUAUAUAUAUAUAUAUAUAUAACAAUAUAUAUAUAUAACUAUAUAUAUAUAACAAUAUAUAUAUAUAUAACAAUAUAUAUAUAUAUAUACAUAUAUAUGUAACAAUAUAUAUAUAUAUUUUUUUUUUUUUUGAAAACUCCACUAGAAUGGGAGAAAGCGCUAAUGAUCUGAAUGAUAUGAUAUAUAUAUGUAAAAAAUGUAAUAUAUAAAUAAAUAUCUGUAAAUAUGAACCAUCCGAUCUUCUGAUUACCUCAUUUCUUCUAAUAUAUAUAUAUAUAUAUAUAUAUAUAUAUAUAUACAUACAUACAUAUAUAUAUACACACAUAACAUGCAUGCAAACAUACAUAUUAUCGCAAUUUAGUUUUUGUAUACAGAAUACAGAAGUAGACACAUUUGACAAUUGCUCAUCUUAAAAUUGUAUAAAACGUUCUAGCGCAAAAUCAAAUCAAAUUGAGAAAACCAUCUAUUUUUGUUUUUUAUUUGUAGCAGAAACCGACUUUUAUGAUUCGCUCUUUUUGCAAACACUAUUAUAAAUUUAAUAUGCCUCAAAUUUCUCGAUCAGACAAAUUUUAACAUAAAGUCUGCAAAUUUUUGCAUAACACUAAUGGUAAGCAGCGUACUGUUCCAUUCUUCAUAUUCUUCUUCAGUUGUAUUCAUAUGCCCUUUCUGGCAUCCUUAUGGCGCUUGGCUGUCUUUAUGGUCGAAUAUUAACUCCAUGAAAAUUAUAUUGUUGACGCGUUUUAUGAUUAAAACAGUGUGAGCAAAUUAAUUUUUUCUUUGUUUUGAUUAUAUAUGGUCAAGAUAGUGAUAUUUUCUUGUGAAAUAACCACCUGCUGUUCGAAACCCUGUACAGUUACUGUGGGAGGUCAACAAUGUUACUGACUCUAGCAAGAAGCUCUGAUUCUUGAAAGCAAGGAGAGCGACUGGUAUGAUUCUGCCAAAGUCGUGCAAAUGUAAGACACUAAUCAUAUGUGACAUGCGCCAUAAUGAUUGCUUUAAUGUUCAGAAACAAAAGACUGCUUGAUAAACAAAGGAUUGCAUUGCAAUUUAUUUAGUAUCAGUAUUGAGAAAAUUUGUUCAUUCCAAGGAUAAUUUGCAGUCGCAUUAUAAUCUAUUUAGUAUCGGUAUUGAAAAAAAAAACAGAUUCAAAUGACGAAGUUAAGUAACGUUCUUUCAAAGGUUCCAUAAUACAUUUUCAUAUCCCGUAGUGAUAUUUACCCGUGACAGUAUAGCUCAACAGAGAUAAUCACUUUAUAUUAUCAGCAUCCUUGUAAUUGAUUACAAGUAAAAGAGGUAAAUUAAUUUUGAAGACAUUUCAGGAGACGUCAACACAUUUAUUGCACAGGUUCGACCCGUUCUCUGAUACAGACCUACAGAAAAUGUUUGAAAGUGACUUAAAAACUCUAACCUUAAUAUUAGAAACUCUAACCUUAAUAUUAGACACAUUUUCUGAUGGAUAGGACAUUUUCAAGUGAAAACGACUUUAAAAGUACGGAAAAUAUUUCGUAAUAGACCCGUUCGUAACCUCGGUGUGAAAUAGUUUUUUUUCCACAUGUUUCUUUCGAGUGCAUUCAACGUAUCUCCCCUCCAAAUAUUUGGCUGCUAUUUCUAGCACGCCCUGCUACUACGUAAAAGCUAUUUGCGAUAAAGCACCCGAAAUACUUGUUACGUGGUAGCAGAGUGUGCAAGAAAUAGCAGCCAAUUCUUUCCUUUUCUAGGGAAAGGAGCGGUUUACGCAUCAUUUCGAUGAGACAAUCGUUGAAAUCAUGCGAAAUAACCUCGAAAAGAAAAGAAAAAACAUUGAACAAACUAUGUUGCUGGGAAACUCAGCCUUUCCCGGUACCUUGAAUUAUUGGUGACACAACGGAUCACAGGUAGUCUAGUGUAUUAUAUUAGUUUCACAUUUUGAAAGCACAUGGCCUAGUGGUUAGAGCAGUGGACUCGCGGUCGAGGGAUUAUGGGUUCGAAUCUCAGACCGGGGAUGUGUGUGUUUAUGAGCUAAACACCUAAGGUCCACGCGGUUUCGACAGAAGGUAAUGGCGAACUUCUGCUGACUCUUUCACCUCAACUUUCGUUCACCCAUUCUUCCUGCAUCUUGCAGGUCAUCUGCGACGGGCCAGCGUCCCGUUCAGGUGGAGAACCUAUACGCCAAGAAACCGGGAAAUCUGCCCCAAUGAGCCAGGUGUGGCUCGAGAAGGAACAAGGCUGGCAAUUUCGGGUAAGGCGGUAAUUCGAAUACAUCAACCCAAGUGCUGAAAUGGUUCUUGUUUUAUCGACCACGAUAGCAUAAGCAAUGUCGAUCUUGGUGGAAUUUGAAAUCAGAACGUAAAUGUUGAGGAAAUUCGCUAUACAUUUUGCUAAGCAUACUAAAAAUUAUGUGAGCUCAACGGCUUGUAUCUUUUUAAUAUACAGCUAUAUUUUGGAUUGCUGACAUAUACUUCAUGUUUCUUAUUGGCUGAUCAUAAGAUUUCAAAUGAAAGGUUGGAAAUAUUUUUCUUGUUACGUAAGUUCUGUUCACUUUUCGGGUCCUCAAGCAAAAAUACUGGGCUACUGUAUAUGCGGCAUUAUGCAUAGACAGCCUUGUACCAAACUUUGGCAUUGGAAGUUAUUCAAACUGCAGAACGGGGCGCCACUGUAUAGUGCCAAAGAUCCCAGCAUCACCAUCAAAAUAUAGGACCAUAUACUGCAACAGAUUGGGCUUCAAGGGCUCACAGCACUUUAAUAUCCUUCCAAAAUGCCUGAGAGACCUGAAUAGUGUGGAUGUAAGUGUUUUUAAAACAAAACUGGAUCUCUACCUGUUACGGGUUCCAGACGAGCCUACCUCACGGCAGGAAACACUGAUGAGGGCAGCAGCAUCAAAGUCCCUCAUUGACCAAGUGCAACAUAUUAGAGGAGGUUCAAAAUAAUGGUGUAGCUCAGUCAAUGGUGGUGCUCCAGCAUGACCACAACUUUGCAGCUGAAACAUUUAAAAAGAAGACUAUAUAGGGAAAUAAGAGAAUGAAGGUAGAAAAAUGUAUAAAUAUGCAACUAUAACUUCUUUAUACAAUUUUUUAAAUUUCUAUAUUCAUUCUCCUGUUUCCCUAUAUACUCCCUAUCCCAGAAACAGCUUUAAGACUAACUUUCUCUUUAUAGCCCUGAAAUCUCCUCACAGACUUGGCUUUGUUGUCUAAUUUUAUUUAACACACACACAUGCUCGCACGUACGCGUGCACACACACACACGCACACACACACACACACACACACACACAUAUAUAUAUAUAUAUAUAAUUUCAACAAUUGAGGGUAAAAUUAAUUAAUUAUUAAUCAAUUUCACCAAGUAUUCAGUAUGUAAAGGGACCAUUUAAGGCGAAUUCAAAAUAUUACAUUAUAUAAAAGGGCUUAGUAAAAUAAAUUACUUUGCCACAUACUGAACUCAUUAGAAAUAGCAGCAAAAAAAAAAAGUUUUUUAGCCAUUUCUAAUACUUAAAGAAAAUUUCUCUCAGAUAGUGUUUACUCAAAAUAACUCACGAAGGUAUGGGGGUAAAAACAUUAAAAAAUCACAAGUGCAAAGGUUAUUUGAGAACGUACGUUUCUAGAUCAGCCAAAUACAAUUCGACAGAAAUUCUUCGCUUGCAUAUUUUGAAUUUGUUGACACUGUUAGUUUGAACGAAUCUUCUGAGGUGAAAAGACGCCAAAAGGGUAUGCUCCUACUUUCAGUGUUCCCAAAUCCGAAUUAAGGAAUUUUGAGCUGACGAAAGAAAUGUCGAAUUGUAUUUGGCUGAUCUAGAAACGUACGUUCUCAAAUAACCUUUGCACUUGUGAUUUUUUAAUGUUUUUACCCCCAUACCUUCGUGAGUUAUUUUGAGUAAACACUAUCUGAGAGAAAUUUUCUUUAAGUAUUAGAAAUGGCUAAAAAACUUUUUUUUGGCUGCUAUUUCUAAUGAGUUCAGUAUGUGGCAAAGUAAUUUAUUUUACUAAGCCCUUUUAUAUAAUGUUAAUAUAUAUAUAUAUAUAUAUAUAUAUAUAUAGUUAAUCAAAACAAGAAAAGAAAAAGACAACAACGCAAAGACGUGGAACAAAUAAAGUAUUAUUGGACGCUGAGGAAAGAAAAGAAGAAGGAGAGUUUGACGUUUCGAGCGGAGCUCUUCGUCGGAAACAUAGGAGAAGGAAAGAUCUCGAGAAGGGAAGACAGAGAAAAAAAUCGCUAGUGAUACAGACGAGGUCACAUACUAAAAAAAAAAAUAAUAAUAAUAAUAUAUAUAUAUAUAUAUAUAUAUAUAUAUAUAUAUAUAUAUAUAUAUACAAGCGUAUCUUCUUUAUAUGUGUGUGUGCAUCUCACAGUAGGUAGAGAUACGGAUAUAUUUUAGCAAUACACACAUAAAAUGCAGAAGACUAAUGCUGAACGACAACGGAUCAUGUUAAAUGAUGAAUAUACGAGCGAAUCAUACAUGGCCGAAUUUUAUAUUAGCUGCUGAGAAAUAUCUUCAAGAAGCUAAAUUCCUUAGAGAUACAUAAUAUCAAAUUGGUAAUACAUAAUGGACAAGGCAAUAUUUGCAUAUACCAACUCCCUCUUGUUUCUCUUGUUUCGGAGUUAUUUCGUAAUGAGUUAAAUAUAUCUAGUUUGAAUUGUUGAGAUUAUAUAUUUCGUUUCAACGAAUGGUACCCUAAUUUCUACUCACAAACUUACAUCCACUCACUCUCAAUAUUUAGAGCAGAUAGAAUUAUUAUUAACUACAUAACUGCAAGGAGUAAAUGCUCGCUUGAAUAUCACCAUUACUAUUACUAUGCAGUUUUCUUAGAAUGCAUGAAAUCAUUAAGAAUUUACAUAUUCUAGUAUAGAUAUCAUAUAUCCAUCAAAGCUCUUACAUGUAUAAGAACAAUUAUUAGUUGUAAGGCAAGCCUUAUAUCCUAUUGGCAAGUCAUAAAUAAAUUGAAAUAAUAAAUAAGAGAGAAAGAAACUGUAUAACGGAAGUCAGGUCAAUCAAGACGAAUGUUUGAAUACAAAGUGAACGUAUUUUGUGGACUCCCCCUACAAAUUAUUAAAACUACAAAAUAUUAAAACUAGGUGUAUUUAUCACCGAGAAGCAUAGAAUGAUGGAUGGUGUUUCUCUUUUUCCAUAGUGCUCAGCUUACUUUCUCGCGUGGAAGAACGUGUUGAAUUCAACAUUCCGACUGAGUUUCAAUUCUGCCCUGAGCCAUCUAAGACAACCAAGCAAACCGCGAUAUGAUUGUUCUAAGAUAUAUAUAUAUAUACAUUAAUUUGCUGUCCUUGAAAGCAUCGUGUAAAAUAUCCGGUCAGAAUUACUAUGGUUUAUACCAAUGCGUUUCAAAUUAUAGAAAAUGAAGAAUCUUAUCUACAAACCCACUUUAAAUACUAGCCUAAUGAUUGGCUAAUAUCAUUGUGUUUGAUUUACAACGUUUAUCUAUCUGUUCAUCUGCCCACUUGUAUUAGCUCGACUCCACCUGGCCACUUAUCUUAAUCACAUGUAACAUUCAGUAGGUUAACAGAACAAUAUACAAUGGCGAUGCCGUUUCUACCACUAAUGCGAUUUGGGUUAAUUAGCCAUUAAUGUCUAGAAAUAUUUGCUCAUGACUCAUUAAUGACACCAUUGAUUGCAUGAUGACCUGAUUGUCACAGAACCCUUCUUUAAUUUAAUUUUUUUACGUGCCAUUAAACACAGCUCCUAUUCAGUGUCUGCAGAUCACAUCCUCAUACUAAAUGAACAUUAUUUUGAAAUUAUUAUUGCAAGCGUCAUGACAAAAUAUCUCAUACGAUUCACGAAAAUCUGGAUCAAUUGUUCUCCAAAAUGUCACGUUAGAACAAAGUUUCCAUGUUGCUUAAAGGUUUAAAUGGUGUCUGCCAAUCACAACAACUUUGUACAUUUCUGAAAAUUACACGUACUUUGUGAUAAAACAAUUUUCAUAUAUAAUGCAAAAUAAAUUGGAACGUAUCUGAAAUUGUCAUUGUCACGUCAAAUCCCAAUGCUAGGUUACCAAUAUCAGAUGCUCUUUUCAGACAAAGUUGAUACGCUGCAGAUGUGAGAUUUUAAUAAACGCUAUACAGAUUGUGCUCAGUUGUAUAUAUUUAACGUGACAUAUUAAUUGCAGUUCAUAAUAUACGGUUGCAAGGGAAGGGCCAUCGAGCUUUCUUUCCAGGUGUUGAUGGCUAUCAAAGCAGUGGACCUGUCAAAUAAGAGAAAAAUAUCAGACAGUAAAUAUCUAGAAAGUCACGAGCAAGUCAAAGAUGAUGACAUAGACGAUGCUGAAAUGUCUCUGAUAUGCAAGCAGGUAGCGUGGUUAGUGUUGCAACACUUUAAUCGUGCAAGUACCGAAUGAUAAAGCUAGAUAUGCUAACGUCUAAAUUGAAAGUGUUUAAAGCCAUUUAUAAUGGGCUCUAAAGAAUUUUAAAGGAAAUUACAGUAAGUGACGUCUAUACAGUUUUCUCAGUUCCUUUGAUACAAUAACAUGGUUAACACCUUUCAAAAGCGUUGUCAGCGUUUUGUGAUUCAACCAGGUCUCAUUUUAUUUUUAAAAAUCAAUACAAAAUAAUUAGUAGGGAUAAAUCCAGAAUACUGUGAACCGGAAUGUACGCAGUGAUAAUCAUUUAUAACAUUACAAUUUAAUUUAGUCUCAUUCAACGACUAAAGCUGAAUAAGAAGAUAACGAUAAUAAUGAUGGUGAUGGUGGUGAAUGUGAGGGAUAUCAAUCGAAGUUACGUAUGUUGUAUCUACUGUGGGCUUGAGCUAUAAUGAACAGCAUGCAACUGAGAAUACAUUCGUUUCUAUUAUUCUCAGUAUAUUUACGACUAUAUUAUUGAACAUGCUGUCAAAUUUGAGAGACGACUGAUUGCUAUAAUCAGCAGGUCGAAUGACUGUAUAGGGCUCCCUCUGUCGGUUCACAAUUAGAUGUACUUUUAAAAUUUGUUUACUUAGGGUAAUAAAUUAUAUUGCGCUGAUCAAGAAAAGAUAAUCGUCUUGAACUUGAUACAAUUUGGGAGGAAAGAAAUAAUUAUUUGUGGUGUUGGAUACAUUGAAUGCAGAUAGUGAAACUGAAAUAAAAUUUAUCAGUGGGUGUAUAAGUAGAAAGAGAAAGAAAUCACAAGGGAAAGUAAUCAUCUUAUAUUAGAAGUCUAACUAUAGAAGCGUGAAUCACAUGAACGGAAAUGUAACCACUUUGAAAACUGACAGAAAUUGGGGAUACAAUCAAGAGAAGUACAAAUGCACAUUUGAUAAAUAAUACACACACACACACACUCACGCGCGCGCCUAAGCACACAUUCUAAAGUUGAAUUUUCUCUGGAGACGAAAAUGUCGAAUAAAAAUCUUUAUCGCAACAAGGAGGUGAUUAAUAAAGUCUUAAUGCAAGCUGGGUGAAAAUAUUUGCCCAGCUGGAUAAUUAUUAUUAUUUCUACUUUCCAACUAGGAAAGCAUUUAUUAAAAUCUCACAGCCUCGAGGCCCUGGAUGUUUUCCAGGCCCAUGUCUGCAGUCAAAUUGUCAAUGUAAUUGUGACGACAUUUUCCUCUUCUUAUAUCAUCAUGAAGUGGGUUCCAUAAGUCUAAUUUAGAUGCUACCAAUUCUGUGUGACGUACUCAGUGAUCAGGUAAUUACAGACGUCUUUGCCCGAUCUUCUUUCUAAUUUUAAACAAGUUCCCAUAAAGACAUUCAUUUGUCAUAAGUUGAUGCCAUUCCACAUUUAAAGGUAUUCGUAACAGCCUUGUCUCGCAUCCAUUUAGUCUGUUUGAUAAUUUAUGUGUUAAUGUCAAUUUUUGACUGCCAUAUAAUACAGCGUGAUACUCUUGGAGAACUGAAGAAAUCACUUGGUUGCCUAGGCUUAUAGUAUUUUAAACUCAUCAGAAUAAAAAAAAAACAUGUAUAUCUUAUGACAUGUUACCAACAACUGUCAUUGGCGAAAAAAUUGAAAUCAUCUCGUUCUAAUAAUAUAAAGGAACACCUAAUAAUUUCCAAUAUAAUAAGUUUGCUUAAAGCUAUAUCGUGCUGUAUUCUGAAUCCAUUUAUAUAACUCUCACAAUUUCUAUUUCUCUAUAAAAUAUAAUUUUCUUUACUAAUGAAUAUGAUGUUGUCAUGGCAGAAGAUUUAAUUGUCUUCGUAUUUUUCCACAAGGGCUCUUUUCGAUGAUAUGGACAAUGUUAUGAAUUGGGCACAUACGCCUAUUGUUCAUAGCUUCCACUCCAAUCAACAACGGCGAUUCUAGAUUUAUAAUUAUGGAUAUUUAGAAUGGAUAAAAUUAUAUGUUUAUAUUUGCAUCCAUGAAUGUGGUUCAUAGUUAAUUCAUAAUUACAUUUUCAACGAAAAUAAAAAAAAUGUAAUAUUUUUAGGCAAAUACUUUGAAUUUCAUGUGAAGGAAAAUACUUCUACAGAUAUUUUUUCUCUUAUGCCGCAGUAGAUAAUUAAACAACAAAUGCAUUCCUAUUUCGUUUUGCGCUUAUUGUAUUUUAUUAAACCGUAACACCUACAUAUUUUUUGUGAUUAAAAUUAUACUCGCAUUUCAUAUAUAAACUUAGAUAUGUUUCGACCAAUGGUCGGUCCAGGCCAUGUCUAACUUAAUAAGAAUUGAUCAGGGAACUAAAAGUGAAAUUUCCGAAGGAAGUCACAAGAAAUAAGACAAAACAGAUAAUUCAUAGUAUUUCUAUACGGAAACCAGUGCCCAGGCGACAUACAUUCAUCAAUGACAAUCAACAACGAUAUUGAUAUGAGGAACAUUUACCUUCCUAAAAUAGUAUCUUGACAGCAGAAAGGCAAACUAAACUGAAGCUAUCCUUUAAUAAGAUAGCUAUAUAUAUGUUUAUAUAUAUAUAUAUAUAUAUAUAUAUAUAUAUAUAUAUAUAUAUAUAUAUAUAUAUAUAUAUAUAUAUACUUGUUUCACCCAUGUUGACUGCGGCCAUGCUAGAGCACCGUCUUUAGUCGAGCAAAUCGCCCCCAUGACUUAUUGUUUGUAAGCCUAGUACUUAUUCUAUCUCCCUCUUUUGCCGAACCGCUAAGUUAUGGUGACGUAAACACACGAGCAUCGGUUGUCUAGCCAUGUUGGGGGGACUCCACACACACACAUAUAUAUAUAUAUAUAUAUAUAUAUAUAUAUAUAUAUAUAUAUAUAUAUAUAUAUAUAUAUAUAUAUAUAUAUAUAUAUACAUACAUACACGAUGGGCUUCUUUCAGUUCUCUCUAGCAAUUACACUCACAAGGCUGGACCCGGAACCAGGUGGUUGGUAAGCAAUCUACUUACCACACGGCUAUUUCUACGCCUACAUACUCACAUAUAAUAUAUACAUGCACACAUAUACACACACACACAUAAAAUGUGAAAGUAUCAUCUGCUUUAGAAAACUGCGCAAGUUCAACAGUUUACUGAAAUAAAGUAAAAUAUUCACUAGAAGUAAGAAUGCAUUCGCUGUUUAAUUAAAUUAUUUUUGUUAUGCAUAUAUAUAUAUUUGAAUGUUCAAUUUAUACGAAAGGUCCAAGGGAAUAAUUACAAGACGUCACAUAAGAAUCCUAGGGAUUAGUGAUCACACGUAUGUGGGAGUUAUUAAGCGACACGUAUUUUGGAGAACAUAGGAACAACUGAAAAUGGAAACAAAUGUAUGCUAUUAAAUCAUUAAUAUCUUCAUAUCAUCGACACAUAUUUCGAUGGAUCCUAUCGGAUUUAAUUUGAAUGCAUCCAUCGAUUCGUUUAUCGAUGGUAUGAAGGAAUAAACGAUUUAACAUCACCAACAUCUCGUGAAGAUCGCGAAGCGAUGAGCACUUUCCCCAAAUGUCGUUUGUAGUUCUGUGAUGACUAUGAAGUCCGAUUCUGGAGAGACAGAUACGUCCGGAGGCGGAGCAUGAAAAGCCUUGCUGCUGUUGACUUCCAUGGUUCUGCACGUGCCGGCGGCUGCAGCGUGUUACUUCAUUCUUCAGUAGAACUUCAUGGAGUCUGGUGGUGCCAGUCUUGUAUGCGUCACGUCAGUUAAUGCGAUCUGCAGCCAUUGAUUCGAGACUGUCGGGAGGGAUAUGACACUAUUUCAACAUUGCCUUCAAGGGAUCUUUAAAGCGCUUGUGCUGACCACUGACAGAGCGUAUUCCAUCAUCAAGUUUGCUGUAUAUAACAAGAGGAACAAUCGAUUUGAAGGCAUUUGAAUGCCAUGACUUACCCAUCUGAGUUGGCGGUUAGCGAUUCGUACCUCCAAUGGUUGGCUGUUUGUUCGGCCACGUAUUCGGCGAGAGAUAUGAAACCGUUCCAGUAUCUCGGGACAUGCAACCAUAUAGCAGGAUUGAGACAGAAACAUUGUAGACAGCCACUCUUGUUUUGAUGUUGAUAUUUUUGUUGAGAAACACGCGAGUACUUAGCCGACCAAAUGUAGCGGAGGCAAGACGAAUGCGUCCGUCAGAUCGAAUGUGUUGUUGAGGACUGAACCAAGAUACGUGAAUUAUUUAACAUUAACAAUUAUCGCAUCUUCAACAUGGAAGGGGCAUGAGUUGGUGUCAGCGGCUCUUGGGAGAUUUCCGUCUUCUUGAUAUUGAUGACUAGGCCAGCAUGUCUGUCUCCAUCUAACAUGUGGUCCAAGAGACUUUGUAGGCCAGCAGAGCUACGGUUGAUAAGUGCCUUAUAAUCUGCAUAUUGCAACUCGAAGAAACUUCAUAGAACCUUCUUCUCUUGACAACAUUCCUUCACUACCACGCAUCUAUAGAUAAUACGCCAGCCUUCGGAGAAAACGAAUCUGUGAUAAAUGGCCUCAAGUUAAACAAGGCAUCCCGCAUUGACUACCUGCCCGCCGACAUGACGACCGGUCCGAGGACCCACAUCCAUGCUUUCAUCUGCAGAGCAUCGAUUCCCACUGCGUGCCCCGUCAAUGGAAAGAUGCCAACAUAGUUGCACUAUAAAAAAACAAAGGUGACAGAGCAGUCUGUGGAAAUAGCCGAGGCAUCUUCUUGCUUUCGGUUGCCCACCACAUUUUCUUGCUUUUCUGAUGGACUUCCAUAACAGAAUAAUGGCCAGAGUCGUCUAUAAUGGUACCCAGUCUGCCUUAUUCCCUGCCCAAGUGGGUGUCAAGCAAGGAUGCGUACUUGCCCCAGUCAUCUUCAACUACUACAUGGCAGGCGUAGCCCUCCACGCCAGGCAUUCAUUCAAGCUGAAAGAUGCAAAAAUCAGUCAGGUACCAGCCAGAUGACAGUUUUUUCAAUAUGAGGCGACUGAAAACCAUAACAAAGACAUCAUCUCAACACAUGUUCGAGUUGUAAUAUACAAAUGAUUUAAUAACAUCUUGAGCGUUUGUCUCCAUUUUCAAACACACACGCACACACACACACACACACACACACACACACACAUAAACACAUGUAUAUAUAUAUAUAUAAAUAAAUAUAUAUAUAUAUAUAUAUAUAUAUAUAUAUAUAUGUUGAUAGAAUUUAGAACUGGUAAGACAACAAAAGAAUGAAUAAGAAUAUAAUGUAAAUAAAGGAAUUUAUCUGUAAAUAUAUGUGACUAUUAUUCGGUAGCCAUGAUAAAACUCGGAGUUUUAUAAUGGCUACCGAGUAAUUGUCACACGUUAUAUAUAAUUAUAUACUAUUUAUAUACACUUUAUAUAAAAUAUAUACUAUUUAUAUAAAGUAUAUAUAAAUGGGGAAUUAUAUACUAUUUAUUUAUUAUUUCGUACGUUAUUUAGUUCUAGGUAAAUAUUUUAUCGUAUCUUUAAUUUUUUUCUAUAUGGUAUGAUUUAAGUAUAACAUUUUUGAAUUGCUACAUGGUUGUUCUUCUCUAAUUUAUACACACAAACACACGCACAUAUAUAUAUAUAUAUGGGGGGGGGGGGACAUAUGUGUAUUCAUUUUUUGUAUACGCGUGUGUAUGUAUGUGUAUAUAAAUAUGUGCGGUAUGUACAUAUGGGCGUGUGUGUGUAUGAGUGCAUAGGGGCAUGUCCGUAUAUGAACGUGGUUUUUAAGAUUUUUAUACUUCCUUAUGUUUUUUUCUGUUACCUUUAACCAUGGUUUUUCUUGUGCGUGUGCGUAUAUAGACGUAUGUAUGAACAUUUACGGUAAGCAUGUGUGUGUGUAUGAGUUUGUAUAUAUAUGCGUAUAUAUUUGGCGAAAAAUGCGAGUGAAGAUGUAUACGUUUUCAUAGUGACGUAUAAGUACGCACGUGGGUUCGCGAGUAGAAUUAUAACACAGUAAUUUCCCUUUAUAUAACGUUAUUUUUUCAUAGCGUUUUUCAGAUAGCCAGAUAACCGAAGAUAUGGUGUUGUGGAUUUCCACUUCGGCAUCUGAAACUCAGAGUUUUAUCUUGACUAUUGAGUAAAUGAAACAUAUUAUUUUAUAGAUAAAUUUCCUCUAUUUACAUAAUAUUGAGGUCUCUUUUUUCUUUUGUUAUCUUACCGUUUUUACCAAUAUAUAUAUAUAUAUAUACAUAUAUAUAUAAAUCGAUAUAUAUAUAUAUAUUUUUAUGCAUGUAUAAUACUUAUAUGAGUGAGUGAGAAUCAGUAUCAGCAUUACUAGAUCAUCAAGUACAGGUUGAUUAUAGUGUGUCAAGAUGUUACCCAGUAGAUAACAUUAUAUCUGUCUUUUGAGACAUAGAUAAUUGUGCAAAAUUUAUUCAAUUCUCAUAAUUUUGAUAUUUAUCAUCUGAAUAUAGAAUAACAUCGCAUACACAUCAUUGUGCAGCUUCCAUUUGCUAGCCAAUUGUCACACAAUAAUUGGGUUAGUUGUUUGGAAUAUAUUGAAAAACAUCACAUUGAUUAGGAAAAGAGACACUGACAGGUGGUUAGGUAAAAUCAAUACUUGGGAAAGAUAAUCUCUGUGGUUGCAAGUACGAAUGCUACAAUUGGAGGUUGGUGGACCAUGUUGAACAAAUAAUUUGGUAGUGAGUUGUUCGCCUGUUGCUUCUUACGGUGAAUGUGAACGAGAGAAUAUUCUGUGACAAUUAAUUAUAAACAUUCAGUCAAAAGAAAAUAAUACACUAUUAGUUGAUGCAAAAAUAAAACACAUUACAUUAUGUGACAGGUAUUUGGUUUAUGUAUGUUCGAUAUUUCACAAAACAUUUGGCCACACAUUCUGAUUUGUUAGUAUUGCAUACAAUUUACCUUUUUAGGGGACACAUUAGAUAUAGGUUUUGUAAUUUCAUAUUACAUUAUAUUUUCCAAUUAUCACUUGAAAAUUUCCAGAAAUACUAUCACGUAUUUCUAUGGAGCAGUUAGCAAUAUUUCAUAACACGAGUCAUGUUCAGAAUAAAUUAUUCGCUUUGUAAAAAAAUAUAAUACAAUCAGGAAAAGAAUGUCAAAUGCACAUCUAAAAUUCCGACUCAACUAGCUAUUUCAUUCUUAAUACUUACGGAAGCAAAUAUAUAUCCAACGAUGGAUUUAAAAGUAUUAUGUCUUAAAAUUCAGUCGCGAACAAGGAAAUAAUACAUCACUGGGUGUGCUUCUGACAUAAAUUUUCCAAACCAAAAGCUGAGUAAUAAAUCUGUCACCUGAUUAUACAAGCAAAAUCUCGCAGCAUCAAAGAAAUAUAAGUUAAAUAUAGUUAAAAGCAAAGAUAGAUGAAAAGGUUCCAUAAUCAAGAAUAAGCGUCCCCUUAGGUCGCAUGCACGUUUAUAUAAAAACAUGACAUAUGUGGAAGACAUAUCUUAUUAUAAAAUUAUUUUAACAUGACACUUCUUUGAAUUAUACUUUAUACAAAAGUUAUUAAAAAUUGUUCUUAAUACGUACAUACAUAAAAACGCUGACACACAUCUUCACACACACACAUACACGCACACAUGCACACAUACACACGUAUGUGUGUGAGUGUGCGCAUAUGUAUAUAUAUAAUUGCAAACACAUAUUGCUAUGAGUAUAUGUAUGUAUAUAUAUGUACACAAAUAUUAUCUACAAUAAUCUUAUAGACGUAGGAGUGGCUGUGUGGUAAGUAUUUUGCUUACCAGCCACAUGGUCCAGGGUUCAGUCCCAUUGCGUGGCAACUUGGGCAAGUGUCUUCUAUUAUAGCCUCGGGCCAACCAAAGCCUUGUGAGUGGAUUAGGUAGACGGAAACUGAAAGAAGCCCGUCGUAUAUAUGUAUAUGUAUAUAUAUGUAUAUAUAUAUAUAUAUAUAUAUAUAUAUAUAUAUAUAUAUAUAUAUAUAUGUGUGUGUGUGUAUAUAUUUGUGUGUCUGCGUUUGUCUCCCAACAUCACCUGACAACCGAUGCUGGUGUGUUUACCUCCCCGUAACUUAGCAGUUCAGCAAAAGAGACCGAUAGAAUAAGUACUAAACUUACAAUAAAUAAGUCAUGGGGGCAAUUUGCUCGACUAAAGGCGGUGCUCCAGCAAGGCCACAGUCAAAUGACUGAAACAAGUAAAAGAGUAAAAAGUAAAGAGAGUUUGUUUCGGUAAAUAUGGGUCCAAUCCACGUCUAAUCUAAUGAAAUCCCUGAGAAAAUCUUUCAGCUCAGAAUUUGAUUUUUCAUGAAGACUGAAGCCCAAUGAAAUCCAAACAUGUUGUCGACAAUGUUAAAAGAAAUGUUUCCCUAAUGUAGUUAAUCAUAUGUGAAUCCGAUGUGUUUAAAGAGCAUGUUGCAUGUCAUUGAGGCGUUCAAUGAUUUUUUUUUCAAUUUCAUUUAAUUUCAUAUGGGUAAUGAAAACGCCUAAACUAAUGUGAAUGACAAUAGAGGAAACAAACUUGAAAUACUGGGAAAAUGGUACUGAAAAUUGGUAAAAAGUUAACCUAGAAUUUUCGUAAUUAUUAUUCUAUAGAUAUUGUAGAUGCUUUCUGUUAUUUAUUCGGGGGAAAUGCAUGAAACUAAGAUCAGAACAGAAAUAUUUGCAGAGUUUGUGAUGUUAUAAUAAUGAGUUUAUAUAGCACAGCGUUUUGGAAAUUAAAGCAAUGAAUCUAUUCCAGCUUAAAUCCUUCUGGUGUGUUUUGUUUGUAUUUCUGUAUAAGAUCCUGGCUGUCGUUUUGGAAAAAUAAAAUUCUUAAUUUCCUCUUUAUCGAUGUCUCCAAACUGCCAGUGUCUAAUCAGGAUAUAAAGUGGUAUUAGCGUCUCUACUUCCGCUUUUGUAGUAGGCAACAUAUAUUCAUGCAGAUUGAACCGCCAUGUAUUUGGCCAAUUACAAUUCUUAACAUAAACACACACGCACACACACACACGUAUAUAUAAAGUACACCGGCUCGCUUUACACAAUAAUAAAUAAUGUAAGUUAAUUUAUUCAGUAUCACUGAAAGAAAGAAAAAGUGCUGCUUAUGCGUUUACUAAUUUACAGAACAUAAAUCAUAACAUUUGCACAUCCAUAUCAAUAUAUAAUUUUGCGAAAUACAUGCUUUCUGUUCAGUAUUACGAUCCAUGUCUUUCUUUGCUGGCGCAAACAUAUUCCAUCUAAUUAUAGCCGUAAAAUAUAGCUCUAUGCCUUUUAAAUUUAUUAUGAUGGAAGGCUAUGAUGUAUUUAUCUUUAGCAAUUACUUUAUUGGCAUGUUUGCUAAGCCUGAUUCGAUAAGAUUUCAUCUAGCAACUUUAGUAUAAUCACUCAUAAAAAUUUUAUGACUAUCGAGAAACUGAUAUAUGACUUCUCAACUUUCAACGAUUAACGUUGUUGAUAAUUAUAUCCAUCCUCAAUUCUAUUAUAUAUUGUUUCUUAAUAACUUCUUUAUGAUACUAUAUUUGAAUAACGUUCAUAUUUGGAUUCUAAAAAUUGUCAGAAAUAUUGAUAAUGUGAAUAUUUCACGGGAUUCUUUUGCAAUCUCACUUACUAAAAUAAAGCAUGUUAAAAAUAGAAAAAAAUGACAACAAUUACUGUGUUUAUCAAAACUGAAAAUGAAAUCUGUGAAACUCAGUUAUCUCUCAUUUUCUGAAAUAUUUAUAAUGGCGCACUCAAUAGGAACUGCUUCACGGUUAUUUUUUAUAGCAAUUUUAACUUUUAUGCAAAAAGAAAAACAUCUUCGAAAAUAUUACAUGAAAGUUAGAAUGUCAUCUUCGUUAAAUUUAUUAGCUGUGGAUUGACAUUUUUAAAGUCUAGUCAGGCUUACGGGCCCGGUAUCCCGGUUUCUAUGGCGUAUGUGUCCCCUAACUGGAUGGGACGCCAGUCUAUCGCAGAGUUACUCACUUUUUGCCAGCUGAGUGGACUGGAGCAACGUGAAAUAAAGUGUUUUGCUCAAGAACACGACGCAUCGCUCGGUCCAGGAAUCGAAAACACAAUGUUAACAUCAUGUUGCUGACACCCUAAUCACUAAGUCACGCGCCUCCACGAUUGACCUAUAUUAGUUUCAGAUUUCAGCACAAGGCCAGCAAUUGUAGAGAUGCGAGCGAGUCGAUUACAGCGAUCCCAUUGCUCAAUUAAUCGACCACAAAAGGAGGAAAGGCAAAGUCCAUCUUAGCGGAAUUUCAUCAACUUAUGUUCACAUUGGAGACAUGUGUAUUGCCUUUAUUGAUGUUUUGUCUGUUUCCAAUUUCCGCCGACACAUUUUGUUUAAAAUGGUAAUUUCAUAGAUUUAUUCAUUUCUCUUAAGGAAUUUGAUAUAACUUCCAGUCUAGAGGUGGAAAGUUAUAAAUUUUUGAAAUUGGUUUGCAAGAAUCUUCAUGUGAAUUCAUGUGUUCAAGCAAAUUUUGUUGUGUCUUGGGGAAGUUAUUUCGCCAAUAAUAAUAAGAAGAAACGCACUGGUUCAUUACCAAUCAGUUAUUGCCUGACGAUUGGUUUAAUAUCUAACCAGCUGACAAAUCGAUCGUUUCUUUAAUGAGCUCAUUUAACAAUCAAUCAGUUGUUUGUUAAUCAAAGUUCUUCGGUCACAGUUCGCUACCUAUUCAGUGAUUUAAUCCUUUACUUAUGUAAUUCCAUGUGUGUGUGUGUGUGCAAAUGUACACACACGCACACAUACACGCAGACACACAUAUAAAAUAUCUAUCUAUCUGUCUGUCAAUAUCUAUCUAUCUAUCUAUCUAUCUAUCUAUCUAUCUAUCUAUCUAUCUAUCUAUCUAUCUAUCUAUCUAACUAUCUAUCUAUCUAUCUAUCUAUCUAUCUAUCUGUCUGUCUCUAUCUAUGUAUGUAGCUCUCUCUCUCUCUCUCUCUCUCUCUCUCUAUCUAUCAAUCUAUCUAUCCAUCUCUCUAUCUAUCUAAAUAUCAGUCUGUCUAUCUAUAUAUGACAAUUGCAGCGUGGAAGGUGUUUAUAAGCCAUUUAAGAAACACACAAAACCGUUAGAUCGCAGUCUCAAAGCGACGAAAAUAUUUUGACAAAUUAAAUUUAAAUGCUGAAGUGAAUCUAACAGUUUUGUGUGUUCCUUUUAUGGCUUAUAAACACCUUCCACGCAGCAACUCUUUUCGUUCCAGCACACGAUCUCAGAUAAGGUCACUUGCUAUGCAAGUACAUCUCCGUAAUAUCUAUCUAUCUAUCUAUCUAUCUAUCUAUCUAUCUAUCUAUCUAUCUAUCUAUCUAUCUAUCUAUCUAUCUAUAUAUAUAUAUAUAUAUAUAUAUAGCAAUCUAUCUAUCUAUCAAUCUCUCUCUCUCUAUAUAUAUAUAUACAAUAUGUUCUGUGUGUGUGUCUGUCUGCUAGGAUCUUGGGCAUCCUCCAUCCGAUUGCGCUCAAACUUGAUAUGUAGAUACCUACAGUCUCAGGGCGUGUAUAGGUCUUGGGAAAAUUACAAAAGUCGAUUCCAUGUGAGAAUGCGAUCGAUAAAUUUGUUUUUGUCCUGCUUAUCUUCCGUCAACCUAAGCAUAACUGCUCCUUCCAUUUUUUGCUGUUUUUGUACUGCUUAAAUGCACGUUUCUUUCCUGCCAAGCAUACUGUUUAAACGAUGUUUGUAUUCGCCCAGUCAACAGCCUUAUCAUCACUGGUACUUUAAACUCUUCGGUUGCAUGAUUUUGUGAAUAAAGUCUUUCCUUUGGAAUAGAAAAAAAAGUCUAUCUUUAUUUCCUAUUUUGCUGGUGUCUCAAAUUUAGGUUAAAUGAGUAUUUCUCAAAGGGGAGGCCUAUGUGACUGUCGAACAAGUUGUUUUGAGAAAAUUUUGUUUAAAUGUUUGCCAGCUCAGCUCCGUCCAUUGGACGAGGGGCGUUUUGCUCGAGUAUAUAUAUGUAUAUAUAUAUAUACACGAUGGACUCUCCCGUCAAAAACAACGUAUGAGUAUUUAGCUUGUGCUGAACGCGACCAGUACAAAUGAUUUGUUUAUGGUGAUGAAAUGCAUGUUCUAUGCAUAAACUCACUUCCUCGAUAAAAUUGACAUUGUCUGUACAGGUGCACAAGUGUGGAACAUGUCAGAUAUCUCGAAAUAAAUUUCUAAUUAACACACUCACACACAUCACGCAAGUAUACAUAAACAAUUAUGCGGAUGAAGAAAUUAAACUUAACUGCUUGGGUUUGAUACACAAACUAUGUAUAUACGUCUGCAUGAGAGAAAGCAAAGACUGGAGAUUUUCAGACAAUGAAUAUUUAAGUAUAAGUAUAUAGAUAUUUAUAUUAAUAGUUCAAAUUUACACCAAGUACACAAAACAGGGAAAACUAAAGGGGAGGAAAUAACAUAUUAUAAUCCGACAGUUGUUUCUGGAGUCUCGAAGAUCUAUCAUAAUGUUGGUAGAUGUAGUUCAUCGCAAUAUGCUGGGUGUAAGGAAAUCGGUCGACAUUGAAUUAAUCGAGACGCUACCAUCCAUAUAGAAAAGAUCAUAAUUGGUUAUGACAGACGAAUGGUGGAAGGUAGGAGAAUGUUUAUUGAUCACUACAAUUGUUUAGACCCAUCUAGUAUUAAUCUCUCACGAGUAGGAUACUUAACAACUAGUUCAGAAGCAUCUGGCGCAUGUCGACAUUCUCAUACAAGCAUCAACAAAGUUAUAUGCAUAUAUAUCCCUUCCGGCCAUUCAAAACGUGACCCCGUGUGUAUCGUUGGCGAUUUUUUUCCUCCGUCUUCCCUUCUCUGGAUCUUUCCUUUUCGUAUGUUUCUGACGAAGAGCGCCGCUCGAAGCGUUAAACUUUCCUUCUUUCCUGAGCGUCCAAUAAUACUAUACUUGUUCCACGUCCUCGCGUUUUUGUCUUUUGUCUUUGUGUUUUCAUGUUUGGAUUAACUUUAUAUAUAUAUAUAUAUAUAUAUAUAUAUAUAUAUAUAUAUAUAUAUAUAUGCACAUACACCCACAUUAUAUUAUAGUUUCCUUUCUUAUGACCAGAAUCGUCAUAGUUGAUAUACAGCGAACUGAAUUUCUGGCGUAAUGGAAGUUAUUGUUUGUUUAAAAGUGAAGGGGCAGAAUACAAUUUGCAUAGGUUUGCAUGAACAUGUUUUCUGUUCUUCAGAAGGAUCUCAAACUAUAAAUUGAUUCAUCGUGUACGAUUUUGCCCCAAAAUCACAUUUUCAAAAAUUUUAUUUCCCCCGUGCCCAACGCAAUUUCUUAAGUUGUAACUUUUUCGAAUUUUUUUCUUUUUAUCCACAAAGAAAAAUACAGAGAUCACGAAUCUGGUAAAUAUAUUUUUUUAAAUUUAAUUUUUCUUAAAGAAACACACAAUACCUCUUCCCCCACCUCUCGACCACCCAACACCUUCCCGCUUUCAAAAAGCUAAAAACACCCAAUGUUUCGCUUUCGUCUGAUGUUUCAGGCAUGCAUAGAAUUGUACUGAAAUAGCAGAUGUAAAAAAUACCAGAUCACCACCAGAAAACCCGAAAUGCUUCAAGCAUCAGGUAAACGACAUUAUUUUUUAAGAAACUUCCCCGCUUUCCAAAAAGCUAAAAGUGAAAUACUGGGAAGUUUAUAGCUCUUUGAAAGUGGUGAGGUGAUGGGUGGAUGUGUGGGAGAAGCUUUUAGCAUUUGUUAAAGGAAAAAAUAAAAAUUCUUAACGAUUCGUACUCUCUGACCUUUCCACUGUGAAUUACCAAAAUACAAAAAAAAAGAUUUUCGCAAAAGUAAAAAUAAAUUAAGAAAUUGGGGUGGGAUGAGACAAAAUCAAAGUAUUGAAAACAUGCUUUUUAGGGUGAAAUCUUAAUCUCCAGUUUCCAAAAGAUAGGAAUCGGAACAAAUUUGGUUAAAAAAAAGGGGCACAAAUGUCACCUCGGACUUCCUUUUAAGUUUAUAUCGUCGAUCUGGUUUUUAAAUACGCUCAUCAGAAACACAAAUUAUAGAAUAGAGAAAAGGUAAUUUCAAUUGGAUUCGAGAUGAAACUGCGCGUGCACAGAGCAAGGAAUGACAUCAUUUGUAAAGUUUUACCAAGAGAGAGAGAGAGAGGAGGAGAGACACCGAGAGAUAUAUGAAAGAGACAGGUAGAGUGUGUGUGUGUGUGUGCAUCAAAGGAAGGUAUUUUAUGGUAUUCUUUCGUUUGAAGCAGAAAGUGGUCAACUCGAUCAUAUGGUCGAAUAUAUGGGUCAUACGAUUGUUCGUUAAUUUCCGUAAAACUAUUUUAUUUCUUUAUGCAUUGAAGACAGAAGAAACUGAAAGACAGGAGAAAGUGAAAAGGGGACAUUUGCUUUGAAGUGAGUACCGAGAGAGAAAGAUAGGAGGAAGUGAAUGAUAGAUAUGUGUGUAUAGGAAAUGGACGUUUUUGCGUGUGCAAGUAUGCGUGUGCGUGAGGGAGAGAAUGAAUGAGUGAGCGAGUGAGUGAGUGAAUGAGAGAAGGUGCGUGCUGUUUGGUAUGUAUGUUUUGCAUGUAUGUGUAAGUGGCACUCAUUCACUCUCCCUUUCUCUUUCUUUCUCUGACUGUCUCAUACAAACAUUAUCUGUCAUAUACACGUACAUAAAUACAUGUGCAUACAUCUUUUUCGGAAUGUAUGUGUGCAUAUGCAUUUGAGAGGGAGAGAGAGAGAGAGAGAGAGAGAGAGAGAGAGAGAGAGAGAGAGAGAGAAAGUGAGAGACUCUAUUUCGUCAUUACGUAUAGAAGAAUAUAAGUCUUUUAACGUAAUUUAUUUGGUUGUGGCUUAUGCUAAUACAAUAUUUACGUGUACAUCUUCAUAAAUAUUUGUCUGAGUAGAAACCUACGUAUCCGUGAAACGUUGGCGAAAAUUAAUCAAUAAAAGCAAAUUAAAAUGUUGCCCGAAAAUGACCUCAAAAUUGUGCGACCCGACAUACAUCCCCACACCCCCACAGCACAUUCACACAGAGAAACUCUCUUAUAUAUAUAGAGAGAGAGAGUGUGAGAGAGAUAGAUAUGUUAUAUUACAAGUUAAAAAGCGACACUAGUAAUGUAAACAGUAACAACCGCAAAUGCAUAAUCUCUGUGUUUUGUAUAUUCGCGCGAAUUUGUACGGGGCAGUGAUUAAGGAAACUCCUAAUAUUUCGCCAGUAUUAAGGCUUAUCAAGACCACGUACUUGGAUCGACCCUUAGACGAAGUAAAUACCUGGUUUAUGCAUAUAAAGAAAUAAUGUAAAAACUUGGUUCGAUCCGAGGCGAGUGGUCUUGCCUGGUCUAUGAUUUGCAGGUAUUUUAGCACCCAACGCUAUUAGAAUGUUUCCCUUAGCAAUAUCCCGCAGCAAAUCUGGUGAUUAGACAAAACACAUAUAUUAUGUAUUUGCAAUUAAUAAUAUUUACAUUACUAGCGCAACUUCAUUCUCUAAUUUAAUCUACUUACCCAUGUGCAUUGACGUAGCGCAUCCCGAAAUAAUUUUUGCACUCUUCCUAUAUAUUCAUAAACUAAGCAUUCAGUUUGUCUUCUGUCCAAUCCAAGUACACGAUAUUGAUAACUCACAGUGAAGCAUCAGUACCCAGCACCCUUGGUUCGAUGAAAGUCGAGUUGUCUCGCUUGGUCUAAGACUUUCAAUUGUUUUAUAGAGUUUCCCUUAGCGUCAUCACGCCGCAAAUUAGGCGAAUUAACAAAACACAUAUAUUAUAUAUGUGCAACCGAUAAUUUUCACAUUAUUUGUGAUACUUGUAAUUCUUAAUUUAACACAUACACACACACACACACACACACACACACACACACACACACACACACACAUACACACACACACACGUACGUGCGUGGAUGUGUCUGUGUGUUGCUUUCGUUUUUCUAUCGCUUGCAAUUUUUACAAACUAAAUUGUGUUCUUCUCAGCAUCUUAUAUUUUUAUGGUUGUGUUAUCUCCAGUUUAUGAUUUUAUGUGAAAUAUGACUGACGACUACUUUUUUUUUCUUUUCAGGAAUCACAGAAUGUAUGGUAAUCCCGCUAUAUAAGAACACCAAAAUAUUAAGUUAAUAUACAAACAGACACAGACACAAACACACACACUCACACACACAUACACUCAUAUAUAUACAUAUAGAUAUACCUACAUAUGCACAUAUACACAUAUAUAUGACUAUAUAUGUAUGUAUAUGUAUAUAUGUAUACAUACAGAAAUCAUAGAUAUAUAUAUAUGAAAUAUUAAAAAUGGCAAGCAAAUCCAUUCUACCAAACUGUACACAAAUCGCAUUGCAGAAUGCUACUGCCACAGAAGAAGCCGAAGAGAGAGAAUACAGUGAAUUUUAUACGCAAUCGCAAUUUAUUACUGGUCUUAUACUUUAUCCCAUAUUUUGCAUUCCAGGAAUAAUUGGCAAUGCACUAACAAUAAUUGUACUGACACAAAAAACGAUGCGAACCUCGACAAAUGCAUUCCUAAGUGCGUUGGCAAUUUCAGACAUGAUUAAAUUGAUGAAUGAUUUAAUGUACUUUAUAGUUCUUCUUAUUUCACGAUCCUAUCCGACAAUAGGCAAAACAGCAUUUGGCUAUAUUUAUCCGUACGCUCAUUUUAUAUUCAACCUUGCAGCCUGUGUUUCGUCGUGGCUGAUUGUAUCAGUUGCAGCUGAGAGAUAUCUAAUGGUAUGUCAUGCGGCACAAGCUAAAACCUUAUGUACCCGAAGGAUCGCAAUUAUUGUCAGCGCUGUUAUUUACACAUGCAUGACUAUUCUUGCCAUACCGUCAGCUAUAAGAUAUAAAACUGUAUCGUGUUUUGAUUACAAUCAAAACAAAACCGUUUAUGACAUACACGUAACUGAAUUAUGGAUGAACGAGAACUUCGAGACAGCUUACAAUUGGAUACAAAAUUUACUAAGAUCUGUAAUUCCCUUUUUGGUGCUAAUCGUACUUAAUACUUAUAUAAUUAACGCUCUUCGAAAAACGCGAGCCAAUCGAAGAUUUUCAGCAAGAAACAGAAUCACGUUCAUGCUAAUAAUGGUUAUUGUUGUUUUUGUAGUUUGUAUCACACCGGACGCUAUCAUGUCAGCAUGCUUCGGCUUAGGUUAUUAUGACGAAAAUCUACUCGUCAAAGGUAUUCGAGAAUUCACAGAUACACUUUUAGCUGUGAAUGCUGCAUUAAAUUUUGUACUUUACUGUUUGUUUAACAAAGUGUUUCGUGAGCAUUUCCGAACGAUAUUUUGUCAUCGUUUAGGCGGUCGACGUAUUACUAUGGAACCUGAUGAAAGUGAAUAUAGGCGGUUGUCAGAUCAAAAAAAUAACCUGUCUAUAGCAACAAAGCUAACAAUUCAAAAAACAGCUACGACACACGUUUGAAAAAAAACAUAUCUGAGUGGUUGUGAGCAUAAAGAUUAUUGACAAUGUGUACGGAAAUAUCAAAAAUGUGUAUAAAUGUGUAUAAAUAUCUUGGUGACCCAAUUCCUAAAACACUGUACAUUUAACUCCCAUUUUAAUUUCAUCAUAUUAUCUCACAUUUAAGACAAAGAAAAAAUGUUUACUGAUGCUAAGUUAAUUAUGGAUAAAACUAUUUGUACCACUUGGGUUUAAAAACGUUAUUAGAACACAUUUUUUUUUCAGAAAGACGACUUCGAAUAAAGGCACAUGGUACUUCAGGAUUGGUUCCAUAGACAAAACCGACAUGAAUAUAUGCAUAAGCGCAC